GACGAACGCUGGCGGCGUGCUUAACACAUGCAAGUCGAGCGGUAAGGCCCUUUCGGGGGUACACGAGCGGCGAACGGGUGAGUAACACGUGGGUGACCUGCCCUCAGCUCUGGGAUAAGCCUGGGAAACCGGGUCUAAUACCGGAUAUGACUCCAUGACGCAUGUUGUGGGGUGGAAAGCCUUGUGCGGCUGAGGAUGGGCCCGCGGCCUAUCAGCUUGUGUGGGGAUGGCCUACCAAGGCGACGACGGGUAGCCGGCCUGAGAGGGCGACGGCCACACUAGGACUGAGACACGGCCCAGACUCCUACGGGAGGCAGCAGUGGGGAAUCUUGCGCAAUGGGCGAAAGCCUGACGCAGCGA
rnacentral:rRNA from 1 species